GUCCACGCCGUAAACGAUGAUAACUAGCUGUCCGGGCACUUGGUGCUUGGGUGGCGCAGCUAACGCAUUAAGUUAUCCGCCUGGGGAGUACGGCCGCAAGGUUAAAACUCAAAGAAAUUGACUGGGGCCUGCACAAGCGGUGGAGCAUGUGGUUUAAUUCGAAGCAACGCGCAGAACCUUACCAACGUUUGACAUCCCUAGUAUGGAUCGUGGAGACACUUUCCUUCAGUUCGGCUGGCUAGGUUACAGGUGCUGCAUGGCUGUCGU
rnacentral:rRNA from 1 species